rnacentral:misc_RNA from 1 species
UCCGGCUUAUCACCGGCAGUUUUCUCAGAGUGCUCAGCUUAACCUGUUAGCAACAGAGAAUGAGGGUUGCGCUCGUUGCGGGACUUAACCCAACAUCUCACGACACGAGCUGACGACAGCCAUGCAGCACCUGUGCUCCUCCCACCCGAAGUGAAGAAACUCCUUUCAGAGUCUCAUAGAGGGCAUGUCAAGUCUUGGUAAGGUUCUUCGCGUUGCCUCGAAUUAAACCACAUGUUCCACCGCUUGUGCGGGUCCCCGUCAAUUCCUUUGAGUUUUAAUCUUGCGACCGUACUCCCCAGGCGGGAUGCUUAACGCGUUAGCUGCGCCACUGAGGGGUAACCCCCCAACGGCUAGCAUCCAUCGUUUACAGCGUGGACUAC